AAGUCGUAACAAGGUCUCCGUUGGUGAACCAGCGGAGGGAUCAUUACAGAGUUGCAAAACUCCCACAAACCAUCGCGAAUCUUACCCGUACGGUUGCCUCGGCGCUGGCGGUCCGGAAGGCCCUCGGGCCCCCGGACCCUCGGGUCCCCCGCUCGCGGGGGGCUGCCCGCCGGAGUGCCGAAACCAAACUCUUGAUAUUUUAUGUCUCUCUGAGUAAACUUUUAAAUAAGUCAAAACUUUCAACAACGGAUCUCUUGGUUCUG
rnacentral:misc_RNA from 1 species